GGCUUCAUAACUCAGUUGGUUAGAGUGUCGCACGGGUAUCGCAAGGUCAUGGGUUCAAACCCCGUUGAAGUCC
rnacentral:tRNA from 1 species